CCCCUGAGGAGGACGAGGAGGA
rnacentral:miRNA from 1 species